rnacentral:lncRNA from 1 species
CAGCUGUGGGAAGAACCUUUAAGAAGGUAGAUAAGGCAGAAAAGGGUAACUAUCUGAGGCUGCUUGCUAAUACCCAGUAUGAUGGUGUUUCUGGGGUCAGAGAACACAUCCUUAAGAUGACUAGUUACCAUAAGAAGCUGAAGGACAUGGAUGUCACUUUGCCUGAUGACUACCUGGUCUUCCAAAUCCUUGAAUCUCUUCCACCACAAUUUGGCAAUUUGAGAAGCCAAUACAAUACUCAGAGAGACACUUGGAAUAUCACUGAGUUGACUGCUUAUGUGGUUCAGGAAGAGGAAUCAUUGAAGAAGGGGAAAUCUCACACUGUCAUGGU